CUAAAUUUGGAGAACUUCCUGGGGACGAAGUCUGGGCCUGUCUGGUUUGCAGAGUCUCAGAGAUUCUCAGGAGGUUUAUACCCAGGGCUUGUUUAUACUCGAGAAGAACAGUAUCUGCAGGGAAAUUGAAUCUUCAAGCCUCUAGGAGAUACCUACUCAAAGGCUACAAACCUCUUGAUGAAGGACCCUCUUGAGUAUCAGGUUAUUCCACAUAAUAAAGUAGAAGAUUUUGUUGUGUGCUGCAAAUAAUAUUAUGCCUUAGAAGUCUUAUAUUUCAAAUCCUCUUUGGCUCAUAAAUUGCUUGAGCUCCUAUGGAAUAAACACUGGGUGAAUAUUGCUGAAUUCCUCUAGCUUGCUUACCGAUGCAGGCUUUGCCACCGUUCAGGCCUUUGAUUUGUCUGAAAAGAUAGAACGGUCAGAAGCCCUGCUGGGACAAUCAAGUUUUACUCUGCGUUUAGAAACACAUGGUGAAAAACCGGGAGAUAAACCUGCUAAGAACAGAUGCUGCCCCAGAUGUGGAAAAUGCAGAUGUUUGCCAGCUUCCGGAUAACUCCAAAUUCGUAACUGCACACAGCAUUCUACAGAUCUCUCAGUUUGAUUUUUUAGGGGAAAAAAAACCCUCCCCUCCCAAAAAAUGUGUUAAGUAUUUUCUUUCAUUUUUUAUACAUGACUUGGAGAUCACGUUUGAGACAUGAAAAGCAGACCCAAUUUUAGUUCCCACAUGAAGAUAUUAAAAAUUGUUGAUUUUGUAU
rnacentral:lncRNA from 12 species